UUCCAUUCUUGUCAUUCUAAUUCUGUUGUUUUCUUUCAAAUUCUGUUGUUUUCAUUCAAAUUCUGUUGUUUUCAUUCAAAUUCCUGUGUUUUCAUUCAAAUUCCGUUCUUGUCAUUCUAAUUCUGUUGUUUUCAUUCAAAUUAUGUUGUUUUCAUUCUAAUUCUGUUGUUUUCAUUCAAAUUAUGUUGUUUUCAUUCUAAUUCUGUUGUUUUCAUUCAAAUUUUGUUGUUUUCUUUCAACUUCCUUUGUUUUCAUUCAAAUUCCAUUCUUGUCAUUCUAAUUCUGUUGUUUUCUUUCAAAUUCUGUUGUUUUCCUUCUAAUUCUGUUGUUUUCAUUCAAAUUUUGUUGUUUUCUUUCUAAUUCAGUUCUUUUCAUUCUAAUUCUGUUGUUUUCGUUCGAAAUCCGUUGUUUACAUUCUAAUCCUGUUGUUUUCAUUCAAAUUCUUUUGUUUUCUUUCAAAUUCUGUUGUUUUCCUUCUAAUCCUUUUGUUUUCAUUCCAAUUCUGUUGUUUUCAUUCAAAUUUCUGUGUUUUCAUUCAAAUUCCUGUGUUUUCAUUCAAAUUCCGUUCUUGUCUUUCUAAUUCAGUUGUUUUCGUUCAAAUUCCGUUCUUGUCAUUCUAAUUCUGUUGUUUUCAUUCUAUUUCUGUUGUUUUCAUUCAAAUUCCAUUCUUGUCAUUCGAAUUCUGUUGUUUUCUUUCAAAUUCUGUUGUUUUCAUUCAAAUUCUUUUGUUUUCCUUCAAAUUUUGUUGUUUUCUUUCAACUUCCGGUGUUUUCAUUCAACUUCCAUUCUUGUCAUUCUAAUUCUGUUUUUUUCUUUCAAAUUCUGUUGUUUUCCUUCUAAUUCUGUUGUUUUCAUUCUAAUUCUGUUGUUUUCAUUCAAAUUCCCUUCUUGUCAUUCUAAUUCUGUUUUUUUCUUUCAAAUUUUGUUGUUUUCCUUCUAAUUCUGUUGUUUUCAUUCAAAUUAUGUUGUUUUCUUUCAACUUCCGGUGUUUUCAUUCAAAUUCCAUUCUUGUCAUUCUAAUUCUUUCUUUUCAUUCUUAUUCUUUUGUUUUCAUUCAAAUUCCUGUGUUUUCAU
ensembl:lncRNA